UUGACGGCAGCGGGUUGUAGCAAUACAAUGCCGGCGAGUGGCGCACGGGUGCGUAACACGUAUGCAACCUACCCUAUACUGGGGCAUAACCUUUAGAAAUGAGGGCUAAUACUCCAUGUAAUUAUGAGAAGGCAUCUUUUUAUAAUUAAAGAUUUAUCGGUAUAGGAUGGGCAUGCGUCCCAUUAGUUAGUUGGUAAGGUAACGGCUUACCAAGACUGUGAUGGGUAGGGGUCCUGAGAGGGUUCACCCCCACACUGGUACUGAGACACGGACCAGACUCCUACGGGAGGCAGCAGUAAGGAAUAUUGGGCAAUGGCCGUAAGGCUGACCCAGCCAUGCCGCGUGCAGGAAGACGGCCUUAUGGGUUGUAAACUGCUUUUUUGUGGGAAUAACCGUAGCUAUGCGUAGCUACCUGCAAGUACCAUAAGAAUAAGCAUCGGCUAACUCCGUGCCAGCAGCCGCGGUAAUACGGAGGAUGCGAGCGUUAUCCGGAAUCAUUGGGUUUAAAGGGUGCGUAGGCUGGUAUUUAAGUCAGUGGUGAAAUUUUCGUGCUUAACAUGAGAGCUGCCAUUGAUACUGGGUACCUAGAGUGUAUUUGAUGUGGGCGGAAUGUGUUGUGUAGCGGUGAAAUGCUUACAUAUGACACAGAACACCGAUAGCGAAGGCAGCUCACAAAGUUACAACUGACGCUGAUGCACGAAAGCGUGGGGAUCAAACAGGAUUAGAUACCCUGGUAGUCCACGCUGUAAACGAUGAUCACUAGCUGUUGGCGAUAUACAGUCAGUGGCUAAGCUAAAGCGAUAAGUGAUCCACCCGGGGAGUACGUCCGCAAGGAUGAAACUCAAAGGAAUUGACGGGGGCCCGCACAA
rnacentral:rRNA from 1 species